GAUCAACGCUGGCGGCGUGCUUAACACAUGCCAGUCGAACGAAGUUUUUCUUUCGGGAGGAACUUAGUGGCGGACGGGUGAGUAACGCGUGGGCAACCUGCCCUGUACAGGGGGACAACAGCUGGAAACGGCUGCUAAUACCGCAUAAGCCCUUAGCACUGCAUGGUGCAUAGGGAAAAGGAGCAAUCCGGUACAGGAUGGACCCGCGUCUGAUUAGCCAGUUGGCAGGGUAACGGCCUACCAAAGCGACGAUCAGUAGCCGAUCUGAGAGGAUGUACGGCCACAUUGGGACUGAGACACGGCCCAGACUCCUACGGGAGGCAGCAGUGGGGAAUAUUGCACAAUGGAGGAAACUCUGAUGCAGCGACGCCGCGUGAGUGAAGAAGUAUUUCGGUAUGUAAAGCUCUAUCAGCAGGAAAGAAAAUGACGGUACCUGACUAAGAAGCACCGGCUAAAUACGUG
rnacentral:rRNA from 1 species